rnacentral:lncRNA from 10 species
GUAGUGUUGGCUGAGGCUCCCUCUUGCCGGCUCCUGCUCUUGAAACACACCCAAGUGCAAUGUUCAAUAGAAACAUCAUCAGUGGUGUAGAAGAGCUCAGGGAAGCAAGGAGGGCUGCUGUGAAUGACACCAUGAAUUUCUGAAUGUGAUGUCCCUUCAAUUCAUGAGGAAUGAAGCAACGAUAUCUCCUAAAACACCAGGGUAAGUGAUGGGGAGACCACAAAUUAUAUUAUGUAUCUAUUGGGUAAUAUUUCGCACCCUUAAGGACAGAGACUAGUGAAGGAAGAAGAGAACUAUUUCACCCCUACAACACCUAGGAACAUCAGCCAAAUGUAAACUGGUGGAUCACGUCAUUUUACAGUGAAAAUAGCCCCUGAUGUAAGGGGUCCAUUAAUGUAGGAGAUACAAAAUUACAUCAGGAGAUCUUGAGUUCCAAUAUCCCUUGACCACCAUUCCCUCUCAAUCCUCUGACCUUGAACAUUUCUCUUCUAGUUAUAUUGAAAAGUAUCCCAUAUACCUUAUCUAAUUUAAUCUUCUCAACAGCUUUAUGAGUUUGGUAUUCUCCUUCUCAUUUUACAAAUUAGAAAAUUACUGCUCAAAUAGUUUAAGUGUAUGUUAUCCAAAUGUACCAAGUGACAGAACUGGAACUUCCACACAGGUCUUUCUUGCCAACAAGCCAUACAAAAGCUUUACCCUAAAAUAAACUAUCUCUGGAAGCUUCGAAUUAGAAUGCACCUCUAAGGGGUAAAACUUAAUUCACUAAUGAGGAAGAGAAUUUUCUAGAAACCUCUCAGGGA